rnacentral:lncRNA from 1 species
UUAGUGUAGUCUCGGCUGGCGCGGCGCAUGGCGCUCGGCCCCCUGGCUCGGGCGCUCGCCUCCCUCCCGGGCUGGGCGGCCGCGCCCUCAAGUCCGAAGGCGGCGCGGAGCCGGCGCGCGGCCAGGCGGGCCUCGACGCGGGGCGCUCAGAACCCGGCGCUGCUCCGGGGGCGCGCGGACCAGCGGGGAGGGCUCCCGGCCGCCCCAACUCUUAUAAACCGCCUCGGGAGGGCUGGCCCCGCGAGCCAACCCGCCCCGGGCGAAACUGCCUCUUCCACUCCCACCCCGGGCUCCCCUUCCUUCCUUUCGCCCUCCCUCCCUGCCUCUCUCACUCAAAGGCCUCCUCCCUCCCCGUCGGGGCCCUCGGGGGUGGAGGCUGUGGGUUGGCCCAGCGGUUCCCAGACACCACUUGCCCGCCAUCUGAAGCUCGAGGAGAUGGGCUUUCUGAAAGUCCAAGAGCUGGGUAGGGGGAGAGUUCUCGAAAGGAUGCUUCCAAGAGGGGAGAGUUUUCACAAUGGCACAUCUCUGAGUCGCUGAAGUUUGUGUUCUCGGUUGAACACUUAGAGCUCAUCAUGCUUUGAAGAAGAGCAACCAGGAUGGGUUAAAAAGGACCCAAACAAAUGAAAUGAUCUGUUCCGAUUCAGAUCAAACCCAGGGCUCUGUGACAACCUAUAGGGGUGGGAUGGGGGGGAGGUGGGAGGGAGGUUCAAGAGGGAGGGGACGUAUGUAUACCCAUGGCUCAUUCAUGUUGAUGUAUGGCAGAGACCAACACAAUAUUGUAAAGUAAUUGUCCUCCAAUUAAAAAUAAGUAAAUUUUUAAAAUUGCGUUUAGCAUGUGUACGUGUAUGCAUCUCAAGUUUGAUGGGGGAAACGGGAGAAGAGCUUUCAAACUCCAGUAGAGAAACAGCAAACAUAGGCCUCCUUCUCGAGGUCCUGGGUUUCUUCCCACUUUUUGUUUGUUCACUUUGGGAAAUCAGGGUUGUUUUCCCUCUCUUCCUCUUCAUUAUUUUUCUUCUUUGGGGAGACAAUUCUAUAUUUCAUCCUUUUUACAAAUCUUUAUUGAGUUCAAAGAUUUUUUAAAUGUAUGAUAACUACUAAGCCCACGGUGAUUUUCAUAUAUAGCCCUAUCCAUUCUUUUUCAGUGCUUUUUAAAAUAUUUCUUUCUUCCUUUUUGGCUGCCUCAGGUCUGUUAGUUGGGGCAUGUGAGAUUUUUCAUUGCCGUGCUGGCUCAGUAGUUACGGUGUGCAGGCUUAGAUGCCCUAGGCGUGUGGGAUCUUAGGUUCCAGGCCGGGGAUGGAACCUGUGUCGGGUGGAAGGCAGAUUCUUAACCACUGGAGCACCAGGGAAGUCCCAUUUUUCAAUGCUUUAUACAAGUCUUUUAUUCCUUGGCAUCUUACUCUUCAGAUUACAAGGAGUUCCCUCAACUCUCUGAAUCGCGUUUGGCCCAAACUUCCCUGUGGCUCAGCGGUAAGGAAUUUGCCUACCAAUGCAGGAGACUCAGGUUCAGUCCCUGGGUUGGCAAGAUCCCCUGGAGGAGGAAAUGGCAACCCACUCUGGUAAUCUUGCAUGGGAAAUCCCAUGGAGAGAGGAGUCUGGAGGGCUACAGUCCAUGGGGUCACAAAAGAGUUGGACAUGAUCGAGCGACUAAAAAGCAACAAAUGCUUGACCCAGUAGCUUCAUGCACAGGCCCGUAAAUUACAUUCCUACGGAAUUCUUCACGUGCCACUCUUACCUGCAUGGCAGUUAUUUUCCUUUCUUAUCCCAAAGAUGCCAUCCCACAGUGUUCCCACAUCCACAGGCUGGAUUGGAAACCCCACCGUCAGUCCACGUGUUGCUUCUUCAGUGGUAAUGAAACUUUCUGACCUAUUCAUUUAUUUGUUCAUUUGGCAACAUUCCACUCCCUAAUUAUUUGACAUUCGCCUAAUAAAUGGGGUGGUCCCAUGGUUGACUUCGUUUGGAAAAUUCUGCAUUAAACAAAAUUACAGUAGUUGCUUUUUGUUUAACACAGAUCUUAUCGGUGACAUUAAUGUACACAUGCAUUUUGUAAAAAUCUCCAACAAAGGGAUUUGGAAUUCUCUGUUUUCCAAAGAGUUCUCAUCUUUUUUCCAGGGGGAGGGAGGCUUCACAUACCAAGGGUUUAAGAAACAAAGCUGGGUUAAAAAAAAAAAAAAAAAAAAAGAUGAGAAGCAUCUAUAGGACAGGAAACAAAAAUGGCCUGAGUGUCAGUAAAAUAGUCAGUAGCAGGGGAACUGAGAGGGACUAAAGGAACAGGAGGGACCUGAACAAGACCACGGAGGAUACUAAAGAUUGUGUCAAACUGGAGAAAAGCAUCCAGAUCCAUUUAUUUUUAUUAAGUCUAUAUUGGAGUAUAGUUGAUUGACAAUGCUGUGUUAGUUUUAGGUGUACAGCAAAAUGAUUCCGUUAUACAUCCACAUGUCUCUGUUCUUUUUCAAAUUCCUUUCCCACUUAGGUUAUUGCAGGGUAUCAAGCAGAGUUCUUUGCGCUGUACAGUACAAAUCCUUCUUAAAGCAUCGUGCUGGCUGUCCAAGUUAUUGCCACAGACCUGCAGUUUCCUGUUCUUGCCAGGGCCUCUUGGAGCGCCCUUAAACCCCACUGGCCCAUCAGUGAACUCUCAGGCUGCUUACCGUGUCUCAGAUCAUCUUCUGGUUCCUGCUUCCUUCCUGCUGCAUGUUUUCCCCUCCGGCCUCACAUUUUAUGCCCCAGCAACACAGGACUGCUUGCACCCUCGCAUGUUCUUGCCUUUAUGCGUGCUCAGUCCCUCAGUCAAGCCUGACUCUUUGCGACCCCCAUGGACUGCAGCCCGCCAGGCUCCUCUGACCUUGGGAUUCUCCAGGCAAGAAUACUGGAAUGGGUUGCCACGUCCUCCUCCAGGGGAUCUUCCCGACCCAGGGAUCCAACCUGCAUCUCCUGCGCUGGCAGGCGAAUUCUGUACCACUGAGCCACGUGGAAAGCCCCUCAUACCUUUAUACCUUUCACGCUUUCAAAGUCAUCUGCCAGGAUUGAUCUGCCCUGACUUUUUCGCCUGAUUAUUGCCUUAUUUUCAAGUGUUCAGUUAAGGUCCCUUGUCCUUAUGAAGCUUUUCCUGCUAGCCCCCCACCCCCAGGCUGCGCGCUGCUUCUGAUUCUUUAUGACACAAUGUGAAUAUGUUCAUCAUAGUUGUGAAACUUCUGUUUAUGAUCUUACGUUUUCUUCUCUGUCUCUGUCUCACCCACUAGACUGCAGGCUGCCUGAGGGAAGUCACGACCUUUGUAUUCCUUCUGCCUUCCCACAGUGCUUCAUGAAGGUUUGUGGAAUGAAUGAAUAAAUAAAAGAAUAUAAUAUGUUUCUGACAUUCCUAUAACGGAGGGCUGAGCUAGGGAGAACACUAAGUGUUAAACAGGAAACUGCCCAAAUAACAUCACUCUCUAUACAGAAAACCUAAUUUAACUGGGGAAACACACAGCAAAUGUAAGGGCCUAUCAUACCUGGACAAUAAGGAGGCAUACAUAUAGAAAUUGUAAUGCUGAUUUUGUAAAAUUUUAAUAUCAAGCUUGUAGAACUUAAGAAAAUUUGAACUUGGUUGACUUUCAGUUUUAUGUAAUUAUCUAUACUGUAGCAGCUUUCAAACAUUUUGGUCUCAGAAUUUGUUUACUUUCUUACAAUGGAAACUUCUAAAAGCAUUUUUUUUUUAUUGUGGGCUGUAGCUGUCAAUAUUCACCAUAUUAAAAAUUCAGAGAAGUGUCUACUUAUUUGUGGUAACAAUAUAUAGCAUUAUUUAUGAAAUAUGUAUUACUUUCAAAAUAAAAAUAAAGGUAAAUAGGAUUGUUUAGCUUGCAAAUCUCUUUAAUAGAAGACAACUGUAUUUUCUUAAGUGCUUCUAUACUCUGAUGUGGCAUGUUUUUUUCCUCAACGUGUAUGAAGAAAAUACAGCCUCAUACAAACAUAUGGUUCAAAAAAAGAGGAAGAUUUUAGUUGCUUUUCCUGAUACAAUUAUACAAGGUGUUUUCCUUUUCUACUACCACCAAACUCAACAACUGGUCACUUCUUGGCCAUUAUCUGUACUAUGGAAACUAAAACCAGUGAAAUUUUCCUCCUCUGUUUCAAGGCUAUCUUUAUUUCUAUUUUUAUUUGAAUAAAUCUUUUACCCAGGAAUGACUUUGUAACAUCAGGCAUUGGUCAUUUG